AUUGAACGCUGGCGGCAGGCUUAACACAUGCAAGUCGAGCGGAGCGAGGGUGCUUGCACCUUAGCUUAGCGGCGGACGGGUGAGUAAUGCUUAGGAAUCUGCCUAUUAGUGGGGGACAACAUUCCGAAAGGAAUGCUAAUACCGCAUACGCCCUACGGGGAAAGCAGGGGAUCUUCGGACCUUGCGCUAAUAGAUGAGCCUAAGUCGGAUUAGCUAGUUGGUGGGGUAAAGGCCUACCAAGGCGACGAUCUGUAGCGGGUCUGAGAGGAUGAUCCGCCACACUGGGACUGAGACACGGCCCAGACUCCUACGGGAGGCAGCAGUGGGGAAUAUUGGACAAUGGGCGGAAGCCUGAUCCAGCCAUGCCGCGUGUGUGAAGAAGGCCUUUUGGUUGUAAAGCACUUUAAGCGAGGAGGAGGCUACUGGUACUAAUACUACUGGAUAGUGGACGUUACUCGCAGAAUAAGCACCGGCUAACUCUGUGCCAGCCGCCGCAGUAACAC
rnacentral:rRNA from 1 species